GAUGAACGCUGGCGGCGUGCCUAAUACAUGCAAGUCGAGCGAACGGACGAGAAGCUUGCUUCUCUGAUGUUAGCGGCGGACGGGUGAGUAACACGUGGAUAACCUACCUAUAAGACUGGGAUAACUUCGGGAAACCGGAGCUAAUACCGGAUAAUAGUUUGAACGGCAUGGUUCAAAAGUGAAAGACGGUCUUGCUGUCACUUAUAGAUGGAUCCGCGCUGCAUUAGCUAGUUGGUAAGGUAACGGCUUACCAAGGCAACGAUGCAUAGCCGACCUGAGAGGGUGAUCGGCCACACUGGAACCGAGACACGGUCCAGACUCCUACGGGAGGCAGCAGUAGGGAAUCUUCCGCAAUGGGCGAAAGCCUGACGGAGCAACGCCGCGUGAGUGAUGAAGGUCUUCGGAUCGUAAAACUCUGUUAUUAGGGAAGAACAUAUGUGUAAGUAACUGUGCACAUCUUGACGGUACCUAAUCAGAAAGCCACGGCUAACUACGUG
rnacentral:rRNA from 1 species